rnacentral:lncRNA from 1 species
AUGCGCAAAAGGACAUUUCUAACAAAACAAAAUGGAAGCAAAUGUGUAAAUACUAAAUUCCCAGCAAUGGAAGGAAAGAGCUGGAAAUCAGGAUACAGACUGCCAAAAAUCGAAACCCAGGUGGAAACGGAAUAUGUUGGACCUAAAUGCAACAGUGAGAACAAAAAGGUUCAUGGUUGCUUUUCCCACUUGUGGGGAGAUAUUUCAAGGUAUGUUCCUUUUUGGGAACAAGCACAGUUGAUCAAAAAGAUAUCAGAACCUUUGAGUUAUUGCGUAGAGUUAAUCCACAACCAGCCUCUCCAUGGACUCUGCUAUGGCUGUGACAGAAACAUUCAGAAACACUUUCAUCAUGAGAAGCCAAUACGCACUGGUGGAGGGUACACAUACUUCAGCAAAAAGACAUCGGCAUCUCCACUUCAAG